ACUCUGCAUUCACUACAAACACACUACAUUCAUUAUACACACUGCACUCACUACAAACACACUACAUUCACUAUACACACUCUGCAUUCAUUAUACACACUCUGCACUCACUACAAAAACACUACAUUCACUAUACACACUGCAUUCACUAUACACACACUGCACUCACUACAAACACACUACAUUUAUUAUACACACUGCACUCACUACAAAUACACUACAUUUAUUAUACACACUGCACUCACUGCAAAUACACUGCACUCACUACAAAUACACUACAUUCAUUAUACACACUCUGCACUCACUAAAACACACUGCAUUCAUUAUACACACUCUGCACUCACUACAAAUACACUACAAUUAUUAUUCACACUCACUACAAAUACACUACAAUUAUUAUUCACACUGCACUCACUACAAACACACUACAUUUAUUAUUCAUACUCUGCAUUCACUACAAACACACUACAUUCAUUAUACACACCCUGCACUGCACUAUAUGCAUAGGAG